GCAGAAUGCUGAUGACAUCACGGAACUUAGAGGCCAGUAAAGGAAGGGACUGUUCAGAGAGUUGGCCUUCCAAGCAAGGUUGGCCUUGGCUGUUCUGGGCACACUGUACCAGUGGGUGGAUUAAUGAGGUGCCUUCCUGACCAGGCUGCCAGUGAUGGGGCAGAAAAUCGCCAGCAAGAAAAGGGCAGAAGGCAGAGAGGGAGGAAGGAGAACAGGAAGUACCAACUUGAGAGGAACAAGCACAGAGCCCAGGCAGAAGGCUGUGUUAUUUUAAGAGGGCUGCCAUGACUAAGUGCCACAGACCGGAGCUUGAACAACAGAAGUGGAUUGUCUCACAAUCCUGGAAUCUGGACUUCUGAGAUCAACGUUUGUCACAAGGAUUGGUUUCAUUUUGAGGACUCCUUCCUAGGUUUGCAGAUGGCCGGUUUCUCCCUGUCUUCACAUGGUCUUCCCUCUCUGUGCAUCUGUGUCCUACUUUCUUCUUAUAAAGUAAAG
rnacentral:lncRNA from 1 species